rnacentral:rRNA from 1 species
AGUAACGCGUAAGAACUUGCCCUUUAGACUGGGAGUAACAGAGGGAAACUUCUGAUAAUACUGGAUAAGUUAGUAUAUCGCAUGAUAUGCAAAUGAAAGCUACGGCACUAAAGGAGAGCUUUGCGUCCUAUUAGCUAGUUGGUAAGGUAAGAGCUUACCAAGGCGAUGAUAGGUAGCCGGCCUGAGAGGGUGGACGGCCACAAGGGGACUGAGAUACGGCCCUUACUCCUACGGGAGGCAGCAGUG